rnacentral:misc_RNA from 1 species
GUAUUGGAAAUGUCUUCAGUUCUUCUCCAUCCUUAGCAAAACUUAGACUUAGUAGGACUCGUUCGUUCAUCUGGUUUCAACUUUACUUAAAUUUUUCUUUAUAUAGUUAUAGUUCGACUAAUCUUUUUUAUUUGUUCGAGAGGUUUCCUUUUGUACGAAACCUUCCCUUUCAAAUAAAAAGAAUACUCACUAUCCUAAUUGUUCUCCUUCUUUCGAAAAUCUCAUUCUUAUUGAUGAAUGAG